CUUGCCUGCCACCACGUAAGACAUGCCUUUGCUCUUCCUUUGCCUUCUGCCAUGAUUGUGAGGCCUCCCCAGCCAUGUGGAACUGAGUCCAUUCAACCUCUUUUUCUUUAUAAAUUACCCAGCCUUGGGUAUUUCUUCAUAGCAGUAUGAGAAUGGACUAAUAUCCCGUGGUUGUCAAUUCCAGAAGUGAAGCAUGUGUAUCCAUUCUUGUCGCGAGCAGAAGAGAGCGUGAUGUGAGUACUGGGGCACUGAGGCAAGCCCCAGAAGCAGAUGGCAGCCACAGCUGGCCUGGAGGGCCUGUCCCAGUGAGGGAGCUGCCCGAGCCACUCCUGCCCUGCUCCACCCACUGCACCUGCCUCCGGAGAGCCUCUUCCCACACUCCACACCAAUUCCACCUUGCCUAGGCAGCGCCAAAGCACCUUCUCUGAAAGCUGUUAAGUGAAGGCUGUGACUUCAGCCCCUUAGAUUCAGGGCUGACUCUGGAGACAGUUCUGUCUGAAAUGAUAGGAAGUGCCCCAUGAGGCCCCAAGCCCGGCUCUGCCUGACUGUGCCUGGCAUUGACCACGCCAGGGAAAUGGGAAAAGGCUCCGGAGAAGGAUGGUGAUGCCCUUGAGGAGGAAAGGCACAGGGCAGCCCAGGAAGAAAGGAAACUCACCGGGGAAAUGAAGACUCAGUUGAUCUUCCUGUGCUGAGACCCUCUAGCAGAAUCACAACAGAGAGACACGUGACCUCUGGACACUAUGCUGAGCCCCGAGCAUGGAUUGCCUGGAACACUUCAUUACUUGAAACACAGAGCAAGAAGCAGAAGUUACAAAUCAGGUGUUCUCUUUAAGAAGCUGUAUGGAGAGUUUGUCCUUACACUUGAAUAGUUGCUUCAUUACCUCCCUUAUCUCAGAAGGACAUGCACAGUAAGGUUAUGAAGAACUGGCUUCCAAAUAAUAUUAAGAGCAAGUCACCUAGACUGGAACCAGCAGGUCCAUAUGGCAGACCAGGGACAGCGGGAAGAACACCUAAGUGGAACCCUGAAGCUACUUCCCACUCUGUGACUUUAGGGUCCAUAGAAUUAUGGACCUGGAUACUGGAUGGCAGAUGUGAAAUCCCUUCUUCUUAUUCAAUGCUUAUGCAAAUAUGUGCUAUUGUCAUUGCAAACAUGGUAUGUGCCCUGGAGGGGAACAAUGACUCCAUUAAAUUUUCUGGCCCUGGAAUUCCGUAAAGGAAGUAGUCCAUGGCCCUAGCCCAGGUUUUUCAGCCUCCACACUAUUGCCCAGUAGGCCCUGGAGAUGCCCUGUGUGGGGCCCUGUGCCCAGAGCGGCAUCCCUGGGCUCCACCCUGCAGGUGCCCUGGAUAUCAGCAGAAACUCCCACCAAGUCCUGACAAUAGAAAGUGUCUCCAGACAUGCCCAAGUGUCCCUCGGGGGCAAAACCACCAGUUUGGGAGACCCUGCCUAGGAAAGGUUUUUGUCUUGCUUUUUGUAGAGAGGCCACACAGUGAGAGGCUUCUCAGAAAGAAGGCGCAGUUCCCAGUGCUCAUUAACCUACAGAUUCAAUGACCAAUUCACUGCAGAGGGCAUCCAAAGGUUCUCGAACACAGAAGUUAGGAAAUGACCAUGAGAUAACAAACGGGGCUCUAUUUUGUAAAGGGGGUGCAGCCCGAUUUGGGAUUGCUAAUAAAAGACAAGUAAGUCUUUCAACUCGAUU
rnacentral:lncRNA from 10 species